rnacentral:rRNA from 1 species
UACGUAGGUGGCAAGCGUUGUCCGGAAUUAUUGGGCGUAAAGCGCGCGCAGGCGGUCCUUUAAGUCUGAUGUGAAAUCUUGCGGCUCAACCGCAAGCGGCCAUUGGAAACUGGGGGACUUGAGUGCAGGAGAGGGAAGUGGAAUUCCACGUGUAGCGGUGAAAUGCGUAGAGAUGUGGAGGAACACCAGUGGCGAAGGCGGCUUCCUGGCCUGUAACUGACGCUGAGGCGCGAAAGCGUGGGGAGCAAACAGG